GGAGAUAUAGCUCAGUUGGUAGAGUGCUUGCCUCAUGUGCAGAAGGCCGUGGGUUUGCUCCCCAGCACCACCG
rnacentral:tRNA from 1 species